AAGCUUGCUUUUGAUGGGCGUCGACCGGCGCACGGGUGAGUAACGCGUAUCCAACCUGCCCACCACUUGGGGAUAACCUUGCGAAAGUAAGACUAAUACCCAAUGAUAUCUCUAGAAGACAUCUGAAAGAGAUUAAAGAUUUAUCGGUGAUGGAUGGGGAUGCGUCUGAUUAGCUUGUUGGCGGGGUAACGGCCCACCAAGGCUACGAUCAGUAGGGGUUCUGAGAGGAAGGUCCCCCACAUUGGAACUGAGACACGGUCCAAACUCCUACGGGAGGCAGCAGUGAGGAAUAUUGGUCAAUGGACGAGAGUCUGAACCAGCCAAGUAGCGUGCAGGAUGACGGCCCUAUGGGUUGUAAACUGCUUUUAUAAGGGAAUAAAGUUAGUCUCGUGAGACUUUUUGCAUGUACCUUAUGAAUAAGGACCGGCUAAUUCCGUGCCAGCAGCCGCGGUAAUACGGAAGGUCCGGGCGUUAUCCGGAUUUAUUGGGUUUAAAGGGAGCGUAGGCCGGAGAUUAAGCGUGUUGUGAAAUGUAGAUGCUCAACAUCUGCACUGCAGCGCGAACUGGUUUCCUUGAGUACGCACAAAGUGGGCGGAAUUCGUGGUGUAGCGGUGAAAUGCUUAGAUAUCACGAAGAACUCCGAUUGCGAAGGCAGCUCACUGGAGCGCAACUGACGCUGAAGCUCGAAAGUGCGGGUAUCGAACAGGAUUAGAUACCCUGGUAGUCCGCACGGUAAACGAUGGAUGCCCGCUGUUGGUCUGAAUAGGUCAGCGGCCAAGCGAAAGCAUUAAGCACCCCACCUGGGGAGUACGCCGGCAACGGUGCAACUCAAAGGAAUUGACGGA
rnacentral:rRNA from 1 species